UCUCCAGGUUGUCUUACAGCUGAAGGAGGGAAAAUAGAGCAGCAACAACUGAGGCAAGCUUUCAUCAGAGUUCUGAACACCGCACUACAAAUUGUAUGCCGAAGAAAUGCUUCCAUCUCACACUGUCCUCCAGACCAGAGGGAUUAUAUGGGCUUUCAGAAUCUUAUUAUACGUGGAGAAAUGCACAUAUCUUGCCUGAAGGACAUCUCAGAGAAAACUCGAGAACAGCUGCCUGGCAGAGGGCAGCGGUGGAUUCUUUGCGGACUGCUGAAGAAGGUUGGCACGAAUUACAAGGCUGAAGCACAAUCCAGAGCAGGAGGACAGAAGGGACGUCCCCAUGUUUGGAAUCAGCCUGCUCCACAGCUGGUGGCUGCAGCAGCACCAGAGAUGGGUGCUGCCAGGUGGGCGGUGGGACUGCUGCCCUACAGCCACGUCUGUCUGCCACCACCCCGCUCCUUUCCCAUUAGUGUUUCCCUCCAGAAUGACUGUGACUUCCAGGGGCACCUCUGGGAAUGUUUCUUUGGCGCACGCACCAAAGGCACCUCUGAUUGUUUUGUUUGUUUCAAGAUGAGUUGUGUACCUGCUGUUUGCAGCCCCUACCCCGAGGCCACGCUCACAGGCUGUCAGCUCCUGGAGCCGAGGAUCCGUCCCUUCACUGCCAUAGAAAGCAAAACCCCAACCUCGGUGAACUUUGGCAUAUUUUCCUAAUUGAUGCGAAUGAGAUGAGAGGGAAAACUGACUCCUCUGACCUCCACAGCAUAACUGUGUACCGUGUGUUGCAUGAAUAAAGGGGUGUGCCAUAGCUGCACAAAUGUGAACUG
rnacentral:lncRNA from 7 species